AUAGUUGCCUGGCAGAGAGGAUACCAUGAUGGAGUAGGUGGUUUUCUUAGGGUGAGGUUCAUCUAUGGCACUCGGGGCAUGCUGACUCCUCUCAUUUCCCCAUGUGGGGCAAACGUUGACUGUAAAGUUUGUGGUAGCGAGGGACUGUGUUGACCCUUU